rnacentral:lncRNA from 1 species
GCCCCUCAACCAUCAGGUUCGGCAGCCGGCGGCGCCGCCUGGCAGCUCCUCCUCUUCUCCGCCCCGCUGGCCGCGGGCGCGGGGGACGUCAGCGCUGCCAGCGUGGAAAGAGCUGCGGGGCGCGGGAGGAGGAAGUAGAGCCCGGGACCGCCGGGCCACCACCGGCCGCCUCAGCCAUGGACGCGUCCCUGGAGAAGAUAGCAGACCCCACGUUAGCUGAAAUGGGAAAAAACUUGAAGGAGGCAGUGAAGAUGCUGGAGGACAGUCAGAGAAGAACAGAAGAGGAAAAUGGAAAGAAGCUCAUAUCCAGAGAUAUUCCAGGCCCACUCCAGGGCAGUGGACAAGAUAUGGUGAGCAUCCUCCAGUUAGUUCAGAAUCUGAUGCAUGGAGAUGAAGAUGAGGAGCCCCAGAGCCCCAGAAUCCAAAAUAUUGGAGAACAAGGUCAUGUGGCUGUGUUGGGACAUAGUCUGGGAGCUUAUAUUUUGACUCUGGACGAAGAGAAGCUGAGAAAACUUACAACUAGGAUACUUUCAGAUACCACCUUAUGGCUAUGCAGAAUUUUCAGAUAUGAAAAUGGGUGUGCUUAUUUCCACGAAGAGGAAAGAGAAGGACUUGCAAAGAUAUGUAGGCUUGCCAUUCAUUCUCAAUAUGAAGACUUCGUAGUGGAUGGCUUCAGUGGGUUAUAUAACAAGAAGCCUGUCAUAUAUCUUAGUGCUGCUGCUAGACCUGGCCUGGGCCAAUACCUUUGUAAUCAGCUCGGCUUGCCCUUCCCCUGCUUGUGCCGUGUACCCUGUAACACUAUGUUUGGAUCCCAGCAUCAGAUGGAUGUUGCCUUCCUGGAGAAACUGAUUAAAGAUGAUAUAGAGCGAGGAAGACUGCCCCUGUUGCUUGUCGCAAAUGCAGGAACGGCAGCAGUAGGACACACAGACAAGAUUGGGAGAUUGAAAGAACUCUGUGAGCAGUAUGGCAUAUGGCUUCAUGUGGAGGGUGUGAAUCUGGCAACAUUGGCUCUGGGUUAUGUCUCCUCAUCAGUGCUGGCUGCAGCCAAAUGUGAUAGCAUGACGAUGACUCCUGGCCCGUGGCUGGGUUUGCCAGCUGUUCCUGCGGUGACACUGUAUAAACACGACCCUGCCUUGACUUUAGUUGCUGGUCUUAUAUCAAAUAAGCCCACAGACAAACUCCGUGCCCUGCCUCUGUGGUUAUCUUUACAAUACUUGGGACUUGAUGGGUUUGUGGAGAGGAUCAAGCAUGCCUGUCAACUGAGUCAAUGGUUGCAGGAAAGUUUGAAGAAAGUGAAUUACAUCAAAAUCUUGGUGGAAGAUGAGCUCAGCUCCCCAGUGGUGGUGUUCAGAUUUUUCCAAGAAUUACCAGGCUCAGAUCCAGUGUUUAAAGCCGUCCCAGUGCCCAACAUGACACCUUCAGCAGUCGGCCGGGAGAGGCACUCGUGUGAUGCGCUGAAUCUCUGGCUGGGAGAACAGCUGAAGCAGCUGGUGCCUGCGAGCGGCCUCACAGUCAUGGAUCUGGAAGCUGAGGGCACGUGUUUGCGGUUCAGCCCUUUGAUGACCGCAGCAGGUAUGAUCUCGUGAAACCUUGAGAGAAACUGAAUGAGGAAUGAAACUAUUGUUCCUGUUUCACACAGAAGAAAACUGAGGUUGGCACUCAUGAUGAGCCCCUGUUCUCAUUCUGCAAAUGGUGAAGCUCUCUAUCGUCCUGA